AUUGAACGCUGGCGGAAGGCCUAACAAAUGCAAGUCGAACGAGUGGCGGACGGGUGAGUAAUGUCUGGGAAACUGCCCGAUGGAGGGGGAUAAAUACUGGAAACGGUAGCUAAUACCGCAUACCAUCGGAUGUGCCCAGAUGGGAUUAGCUAGUAGGUGGGGUAACGGCUCACCUAGGCGACGAUCCCUAGCUGGUAUGCGAGGAUGACCAGCCACACUGGACUGUAGACACGGUCCAUAGUCCUACGGGAGGCAUCAGUGGGGAAUAUUGCACAAUGGGCGCAAGCCUGAUGCAGCAAUGCCGCGUGUAUGAAGAAGGCCUUCGGGUUGUAAAGUACUUUCAGCGAGGAGGCGUGACUCGCAGAAGAAGCACCUGCUAACUCAGGGCCAGCAGCCGCGGUAAUAC
rnacentral:rRNA from 1 species